rnacentral:rRNA from 1 species
GAUGAACGCUGGCGGCGUGCUUAACACAUGCAAGUCGAACGAAGUAUAUUGGAAUGAGUUCUUCGGAACAAAUGAAUUUAUACUUAGUGGCGGACGGGUGAGUAACGCGUGGAUAACCUGCCUUACACUGGGGGACAACAGUUAGAAAUGACUGCCAAUACCGCAUAAGCGCACAGUACCGCAUGGUACGGUGUGAAAAACUCCGGUGGUGUAAGAUGGAUCCGCGUCUGAUUAGCUAGUUGGUGAGGUAAUGGCUCACCAAGGCGACGAUCAGUAGCCGGCCUGAGAGGGUGAACGGCCACAUUGGGACUGAGACACGGCCCAGGCUCCUACGGGAGGCAGCAGUGGGGAAUAUUGCACAAUGGGCGAAAGCCUGAUGCAGCGACGCCGCGUGAGCGAAGAAGUAUUUCGGUAUGUAAAGCUCUAUCAGCAAGGAAGAUAAUGACGGUACUUGACUAAGAAGCCCCGGCUAACUACGUGCCAGCCGCCGCCGUAA